ACUAGCCACUCUAAUACACAUCUAGAUUUAUCAACAUAUAAUAUGUUUUAACUAAUUUUUACAUAUUGUAAGCAUUGACAAUACAACAACGUACGCUGCCUAGUUGAACACCAUCCCUUCCAGUGCCUCUACCGCUACAUAUAAUAACCGUUUGGACAUAUAUGUAGGAUGUCAGUAUAAUCCUAAUGACCUCGCUACAAAACGGAACCAUUCCAUGAGUUCUGGUGAAAUUGCCUUAGUAGUCCGUCAACUUGGGCUCCUCUCAAAGGCCGACAUACCUCCCUUGAAAUAUCUUCUUAGACUGAAGUCGCUUGGGUCAUCAGUUCUUACUGUAAUUUCUCCAAUGGAAAGAUACAACACCUUUUUCAGGAUUGUUCCAUCAAUCUUGAUAAUUCGCCCUUGUAUCAUACUCAAUCUAUCCUUCAAGUUGUACUUCGCAAUAUAUUCCUCUACUAAUGAUACAUUAAUUAAUGGUAGGUGAUCUGACAGGUGUAAAAAUUGAAACAACUGCACAUUCCAAAAGUCUUUUAUUCUUUUUGGCAUCCAGCACAUAUUCAAUUUCAUCAGCUCUAUAUUGGUAACGAUUAAUACAAAAGGUGGUUUUCAUGUGCGUCUAGCUUUGAUGUUUUGGCCAUUGUCCUCUUUAUCUAUAGCUCGCUUUGCACUUUCAAUUGCCAUGACGCUCCCUCUCUCAAACUCUUAACUGGAACUACAAUACUCGAAAAUAUAAGAAACACAAGAAAUAGCAAUCUCAGAAAACAACAAGGAAUGAUAAUACAUAAUGACCUCUAACUGGUGCCCCAAUCCUAUUCUCUUACUACCGGUGAUGAUGACAACAUGUUACCCAUAC
rnacentral:lncRNA from 1 species